AUGAACGCUAGCUACAGGCUUAACACAUGCAAGUCGAGGGGCAGCAUUUCAGUUUGCUUGCAAACUGGAGAUGGCGACCGGCGCACGGGUGAGUAACACGUAUCCAACCUGCCGAUAACUCGGGGAUAGCCUUUCGAAAGAAAGAUUAAUACCCGAUGGUAUAAUCAGACCGCAUGGUCUUGUUAUUAAAGAAUUUCGGUUAUCGAUGGGGAUGCGUUCCAUUAGGCAGUUGGUGAGGUAACGGCUCACCAAACCUUCGAUGGAUAGGGGUUCUGAGAGGAAGGUCCCCCACAUUGGAACUGAGACACGGUCCAAACUCCUACGGGAGGCAGCAGUGAGGAGUAUUGGUCAAUGGGCGCAGGCCUGAACCAGCCAAGUAGCGUGAAGGAUGACUGCCCUAUGGGUUGUAAACUUCUUUUAUAUGGGAAUAAAGUUUUCCACGUGUGGAAUUUUGUAUGUACCAUAUGAAUAAGGAUCGGCUAACUCCGUGCCAGCAGCCGCGGUAAUACGGAGGAUCCGAGCGUUAUCCGGAUUUAUUGGGUUUAAAGGGAGCGUAGGUGGACAGUUAAGUCAGUUGUGAAAGUUUGCGGCUCAACCGUAAAAUUGCAGUUGAUACUGGCUGUCUUGAGUACAGUAGAGGUGGGCGGAAUUCGUGGUGUAGCGGUGAAAUGCUUAGAUAUCACGAAGAACUCCGAUUGCGAAGGCAGCUCACUGGACUGCAACUGACACUGAUGCUCGAAAGUGUGGGUAUCAAACAGGAUUAGAUACCCUGGUAGUCCACACAGUAAACGAUGAAUACUCGCUGUUUGCGAUAUACAGUAAGCGGCCAAGCGAAAGCAUUAAGUAUUCCACCUGGGGAGUACGCCGGCAACGGUGAAACUCAAAGGAAUUGACGGGGGCCCGCACAAGCGGAGGAACAUGUGGUUUAAUUCGAUGAUACGCGAGGAACCUUACCCGGGCUUAAAUUGCAUUUGAAUAUAUUGGAAACAGUAUAGCCGUAAGGCAAAUGUGAAGGUGCUGCAUGGUUGUCGUCAGCUCGUGCCGUGAGGUGUCGGCUUAAGUGCCAUAACGAGCGCAACCCUUAUCUUUAGUUACUAACAGGUCAUGCUGAGGACUCUAGAGAGACUGCCGUCGUAAGAUGUGAGGAAGGUGGGGAUGACGUCAAAUCAGCACGGCCCUUACGUCCGGGGCUACACACGUGUUACAAUGGGGGGUACAGAAGGCAGCUACCUGGUGACAGGAUGCUAAUCCCAAAAGCCUCUCUCAGUUCGGAUCGAAGUCUGCAACCCGACUUCGUGAAGCUGGAUUCGCUAGUAAUCGCGCAUCAGCCAUGGCGCGGUGAAUACGUUCCCGGGCCUUGUACACACCGCCCGUCAAGCCAUGAAAGCCGGGGGUACCUGAAGUACGUAACCGCAAGGAGCGUCCUAGGGUAAAACUGGUAAUUGGGGCU
rnacentral:rRNA from 1 species